rnacentral:rRNA from 1 species
GUGCAGCAGUUACGAAAAUUUCGCAAUACGCGAAAGCGUGACGGAGCUAUCCCGAGUGCCGUCCGCUGAGGAUGGCUUUUCCCCAGUGUAGAUAGCUGGGGGAAUAAGGAGAGGGCAAGUCUGGUGUCAGCCGCCGCGGUAAUACCAGCUCUCCGAGUGGUGGGGAUGUUUAUUGGGCCUGAAGCAUCCGUAGCCGGCUGGACAAGUCCCCUGUUAAAUCCAGCGAUUUAAUCGUUGGACUGCGGGGGAUACUGUCCGGCUAGGGGGCGAGAGAGGCCGACGGUAUUUCCGGGGUAGGGGUGAAAUCCUAUAAUCCCGGGAGGACCACCAGUGGCGAAGGCUGUCGGCUAGAACGCGCCCGACGGUGAGGGAUGAAAGCUGGGGGAGCGAACCGGAUUAGAUACCCGGGUAGUCC